GGGGUUGUAGCUCAACUGGAAGAGCAUCUGCAUGGCAUGCAGAAGGUUGUGGGUUCGAGUCCCAUCUUCUCCA
rnacentral:tRNA from 1 species